rnacentral:rRNA from 1 species
GACGAACGCUGGCGGCGUGCUUAACACAUGCAAGUCGAACGGAAAGGCCCUGCUUUUGUGGGGUGCUCGAGUGGCGAACGGGUGAGUAACACGUGAGUAACCUGCCCUUGACUUUGGGAUAACUUCAGGAAACUGGGGCUAAUACCGGAUAGGAGCUCCUGCUGCAUGGUGGGGGUUGGAAAGUUUCGGCGGUUGGGGAUGGACUCGCGGCUUAUCAGCUUGUUGGUGGGGUAGUGGCUUACCAAGGAUUUGACGGGUAGCCGGCCUGAGAGGGUGACCGGCCACAUGGGGACUGAGAUACGGCCCAGACUCCUACGGGAGGCAGCAGUGGGGAAUAUUGCACAAUGGGCGGAAGCCGGAUGCAGCAACGCCGCGUGCGGGAUGACGGCCUUCGGGUUGUAAACCGCUUUCGCCUGUGACGAAGCGUGAGUGACGGUAAUGGGUAAAGAAGCACCGGCUAACUACGUG